AUGAUGUGCUCCCUCAUCGCCAUCCUCCUCUUGUCCAUUGGUUCCUCGGUUGCCCAUGGCGCCGGAGCAGGUCGCCAGCGCUACCAUGUGGUGGAGACCGGGCACUUGGAGCCCAAAUCCUUCUGCUCUGGCCUCAAGGUGGCUCCAUUGGCCGAGGGCACGUGGGUGCCGCUGCACCGUCCGUUCGGCCCCUGCUCGCCGUCUGCCGGCAGGGCGCCGGUGCCGUCCCUGCUGGAGAUGCUCCGGUGGGACCAGGUCCGCACCGAGUAUGUCCGGAGGAAGGCCAGCGGCGGGGCGGAGGACGUGCUCAACCCAGCCAAGCCGCACGUGGAGCUGUAUCAGACGGACUUCAGUCUCCGUUCGCCCUUCGAGGUGGGCUCCGGCUCCGGCAGCUCGGCGCGGAUCGACGCCGACGGCGACCCCACGGCCGCGUCCCAGCAGACCAUGGCCAUCGACACGACCGUGGACGUGCCGUGGAUCCAGUGCGUCCCCUGCCCCAUCCCCCAGUGCUAUCCGCAGCGGGACCCCUUGUUCGACCCCAGCACGUCGAGCACCGCCGCGGCCGUCCGCUGCCGCUCCCCCGCCUGCCGCUCCCUCGGCCCCUACGGCAACGGCUGCUCCAACACGUCCGCCAACGCCGAGUGCCGGUACCUCAUCGAGUACAGCGACGACCGCGCCACCGCCGGGACAUACAUGACCGACACGCUGACCAUCAGCGGCAGCACCACCGUCCGCAACUUCCGGUUCGGGUGCAGCCACGCCGUGCGCGGCAAGUUCAGCGACCUGACUGCCGGGACCAUGUCCCUCGGCGGCGGCGCCCAGUCGCUCCUCGCCCAGACGGCCCGCUCCCUGGGCAAUGCCUUCUCCUACUGCGUCCCUCAGCCCAGCGCCUCCGGCUUCCUCUCCAUCGGCGGGCCGGUGACGACCAACUCCACAACAGUGUUCGCGACCACGCCGCUGGUCAGGAGCGCCAUCAACCCAAGCCUGUACCUGGUGCGCCUCCAGGGCAUCGUCGUGGCGGGGCGCCGGCUCAGGAUCCCGCCGGUGGCCUUCUCCGCCGGGGCGGUGAUGGACUCGAGCGCCGUCAUCACGCAGCUGCCCCCCACCGCGUACCGCGCGCUGCGCCGGGCCUUCAGGAGCGCCAUGAGGGCGUACCCGAGGAGCGGCGCCACGGGGACCCUGGACACCUGCUACGACUUCCUGGGGGUCGCCAAUGUGAGGGUGCCCGCCGUCUCCCUCGUGUUCGGCGGCGGCGCCGUGGUGGUGCUCGACCCGCCGGCCGUGAUGCUCGGGGGCUGCCUCGCCUUCACGGCCACCUCCUCGGACCUGGCCCUCGGCUUCAUCGGCAACGUGCAGCAGCAGGCGCACGAGGUGCUCUACGACGUCGCCGCCGGGGGCGUCGGCUUCCGCCGUGGCGCCUGCUAG
rnacentral:rRNA from 1 species